ACAGAGGGAAGCACCAGCUCCCUUGCGGCUCAGGGACCACUCCACCCGCACCUUGCCCUCCCCUCCCUGCUGCUGGAGAGGCAGGGCCCUCGUUUCAUCUACACACGUCCUAAGAGACUACGUGCAACAGAACUCACAUGUGAAAAAGUAACACAAAAAGGCCCAGCGGCAACGAAGAGGCAAUCUGUGACUGCCCGAUCGCAAGAAUCACCGAGCACCAACCUGCAGCACACCUGAGUCGACGACACAAUGACCGCCUGCUCAUAUGUCGCAAGCAGGGUCGUCGCUCUAUUCCUGCUGUUACCAACAGGUUCCUCGGCGAAUGAAGCUGACUUCGAAACCUGCAACUCGAUUGUGAAACUUCUGUCAUUUUAGGCCAAAGACAUAAGUAACGACUCAUUUUAUGGUUUUUCUUUUCCUGUUAAUGAUCUUGUACACACUUGUUUUGUUUUGUUUUGUUUUGAAGCCUGUUCGAGACUUUACACAGUGAAGCCAAGUCAUAAUGUUUUGAGUGAAAAGCUCUGAAUUAUUGAGAAAGAACAGCAUUGAUAGUCUGAAGGUUUGGGGGAUGUCGCAGAAAGGUCGGGUGUGGACAGAAGCAUUAAUUGAGGGAACGUGAGGAAAGAGAUGAGGGAGAUGAUGAUGGAAGGGGGCAAGUAGUCAAGGUUCUAAAGGAACCUGUACAUUCAAAGAAGAGGAAAAGGAACGAUUUGGGAAGACAGGUGACAGUAGAAGAAAUGAAGAAAGGCCGCUAAUGACGGUAUGGAAAAUUGGUGUUUUCAGAGAUACAAUUUAACUCAAAUAUAAUAAGCCACAAUUAUAGAAACCCUCCGUAUAGGGGGCAUUAAUCUGAUACCUCACUCUCAGUUACCUUAAAAAAUCGAAUUGGAAAAGAUUGCAUACAAUCGAGAAUAACAGUUUACUGUGUUUAAGUUAAUUCAAGUGUCGGCGUCUUUGAUUAUCUUGUGUUUACCAUUAAUCAUAACAGCCAUUGUUAUAUUUGUGUGUUUUUGUUGUUGGAUUUUACAGUAUCUCAAAACGAAGUUAACCACGCUUUUUGCUUUUGUAUACACCCGCUUGCCAAACACUAACAAUGAUGAACAAAAUGGUCUGUAUGUAAACAUGAUGUACUUGCUGUGCCAUGGGCAAGGGGGCAUGUCACAACCCAAUUAAGUAGUGCCCAUGUCACAAACAAGUAAAACCAUUCAAAACAGUUUUUUUCUGCACUAGGUUAACUAAGGGUUAACAAUAACGAUAGUAACCGCGUUUUUUUUGCUGCGCAUGUCAAAAAGAAAUUUAUAACUGCGACACUAACAUGAAAUAGAACUUAGCCUUCUGUGCUGCACAUAAAUCAUUAUAACUGGUCAGAGAAAACAGGGAGUAACCCUGUGAGAUAACACCCUAGUGAAAACCACUAGAUAAUUGGCGAUUCUAAUUAAAUUUAUGAUGUGGUGAAAAGCAAUUGGCUAUUACACAAAUAAAACCCGUCUUCACUUCCAUGAAGAACGGGAGACCUCUGCACACACACCUGAAAAAACCUCUGAACGUAUGUGUGAGAAUAACUGACAAAUUGAUCGCUUGUCAGUCUCCGCCGUCUCGACCUUAUCAGACAUAAAUCAAUGACCUGCUGGCCCGAUUUUUUCUCCAUUUAUCUGCCCGACCAACGAACUCUUAUGCAGACCGAUCUAUGACCUACGAACCUUAAGCUGUAACUAAUCAAGUAUCUCUGACCUCCGCUAUUCACCACCUUGACGGCGUGAGUAAAUAAUCUUGCUUUGCAAC